CCCUCAUUUCCAUCUGUGAAGAAAUCCUUUGAGCUCUCUUGUCAAAAUAGAUCCAGAAUCUGACAUCUGACGAUGGGAGACAUUCAUCUCAGGGAAAAGCAUAGGUGCCCCUUCUGAGCAGUUUGUCAGAUUCGAUCUCAGGGAUACUGUUGAGUCCUGCAGAGGAUCGUGUUUCCCUCUUUACAUUUUGGCAGCUAGAAAACUUAAAUCCACAUCUGUGGCCAACUAGUGCUCAAUGGCUUGCUCUUUGUGUUCAAGUUCGUCAUCUGACUGGACUUCCUCAUUUUAAUUUGGACUUCAUUUCUUCAUCCAAUAUGUUUUUCAGAAGUUUGAAUUCUCUGUAUUGAUGUGUUUUGUGAGCUGUGUAUCUCCUCCGGUCCCAGCCCAGCAAUGGCUUCUGAUCUCACUCAGAGUAAAAGCCCAGUCCUUGUCCGGGAGACGGAUGAAGUUGAAAGCCAUCAUUCUCAGCAAACUAACACAGGAACAGAAAACCAAACACCACAUGUUCUCACUCAUAAGUGGGAGUUGAAAAAUGAGAAUACAUGGACACAAGGAGGGGAACAUCAUUCACCGGGGCCUGUCGAGGGGUGGAGGGCAAGGGGAGGGAGAGCAUUAGGUUGAAUACCUAAUGCAUGUGGGGCUUGAAACCUAGAUGAUGGGUUGAUGGGUGCAGCAAACCAUCAUGGCACAUGUAUAACUAUGAAACAAACCUUCACAUUCUACAUAUGUAUCCCAGAACUUAAAGUAAAAUAAAAAACUCUACACUUUAACUUAAUCCCCAUGCUUUUUAACUUUUUGUUGUUUCUUUUCUAUCUUUUUGUAUUAUGUUUUGUAAAGUUAUAGUUAUUAUUUCAAUUGGUUCAUUUUUUAGUCUUUCUACUUAAGAGUUUCCAUGCCAACAGAGAGCCA
rnacentral:lncRNA from 1 species